GUGAGGAAUAUUGGUCAAUGGGCGGGAGCCUGAACCAGCCAAGUCGCGUGAAGGAAGAAGGAUCUAUGGUUCGUAAACUUCUUUUGCAGGGGAAUAAAGUGCAGGACGUGUCCUGUUUUGUAUGUACCCUGAGAAUAAGGAUCGGCUAACUCCGUGCCAGCAGCCGCGGUAAUACGGAGGAUCCGAGCGUUAUCCGGAUCUAUUGGGUUUAAAGGGUGCGUAGGUGGGUUGAUAAGUCAGCGGUGAAAGUUUGCAGCUUAACUGUAAAAAUGCCGUUGAAACUGUCGGACUUGAGUGUAAAUGAGGUAGGCGGAAUGCGUGGUGUAGCGGUGAAAUGCAUAGAUAUCACGCAGAACUCCGAUUGCGAAGGCAGCUUACUAAGCUACAACUGACACUGAAGCACGAAAGCGUGGGGAUCAAACAGGAUUAGAAACCCUUGUAGUCC
rnacentral:rRNA from 1 species